UACGGAGGGUGCUAGCGUUGUUCGGAAUUACUGGGCGUAAAGCGUGCGUAGGCGGCUUUGUAAGUUAGAGGUGAAAGCCCGGGGCUCAACCCCGGAAUUGCCUUUAAGACUGCAUCGCUUGAAUCCGGGAGAGGUGAGUGGAAUUCCGAGUGUAGAGGUGAAAUUCGUAGAUAUUCGGAAGAACACCGGUGGCGAAGGCGGCUCACUGGACCGGUAUUGACGCUGAGGUGCGAAAGCGUGGGGAGCAAACAGG
rnacentral:rRNA from 1 species